UACCAGCACCCCGAGUGGUCGGGACGUUUAUUGGGCCUAAGGCAUCCGUAGCCGGUUCUACAAGUCUUCCGUUAAAUCCAGCUGCUUAACAGAUGGGCUGCGGAAGAUACUAUGGAGCUAGGAGGCGGGAGAGGCAAGCGGUACUCGAUGGGUAGGGGUAAAAUCCGUUGAUCCAUUGAAGACCACCAGUGGCGAAGGCGGCUUGCCAGAACGCGCUCGACGGUGAGGGAUGAAAGCUGGGGGAGCAAACCGG
rnacentral:rRNA from 1 species